rnacentral:tRNA from 1 species
ACCAGUGUGGUGUAGUGGUUUGAGCACUGGACUUCAACUUUGGAGAUCAGGGUUCGAUUCCCCUCUUGGCUA